rnacentral:tRNA from 1 species
GAUGCCUGAUAUUUAAAAGGAUUACUUUGAUAGAGUAAAUUAUGUGAAAAUUUCACUCU